rnacentral:rRNA from 1 species
GUAGCUGGUCUGAGAGGAUGRYCAGCCACACUGGAACUGAGACACGGUCCAGACUCCUACGGGAGGCAGCAGUGGGGAAUAUUGGACAAUGGGGGCAACCCUGAUCCAGCAAUGCCGCGUGUGUGAAGAAGGCCUGAGGGUUGUAAAGCACUUUCAGYGGGGAGGAGGGUUGUUAGGUUAAGAGCUGAUUAAWUGGACGUUACCCACAGAAGAAGCACCGGCUAACUCCGUGCCAGCAGCCGCGGUAAUACGGAGGGUGCGAGCGUUAAUCGGAAUUACUGGGCGUAAAGGGUGCGUAGGUGGUUGAUUAAGUUAUCUGUGAAAUCCCYGGGCUUAACCUGGGCACGGCAGAUAAUACUGGUGAACUCGAGUAUGG